AUUGAACGCUGGCGGCAUGCCUUACACAUGCAAGUCGAACGGUAACGGGCCUUCGGGUGCCGCCGAGUGGCGAACGGGUGAGUAAUACAUCGGAACGUGCCCGAUCGUGGGGGAUAACGAGGCGAAAGCUUUGCUAAUACCGCAUACGAUCUACGGAUGAAAGCAGGGGACCGCAAGGCCUUGCGCGGACGGAGCGGCCGAUGGCAGAUUAGGUAGUUGGUGGGAUAAAAGCUUACCAAGCCGACGAUCUGUAGCUGGUCUGAGAGGAUGAUCAGCCACACUGGGACUGAGACACGGCCCAGACUCCUACGGGAGGCAGCAGUGGGGAAUGUUGGACAAUGGGCGCAAGCCUGAUCCAGCCAUGCCGCGUGCAGGAUGAAGGCCUUCGGGUUGUAAACUGCUUUUGUACGGAACGAAAAGCCUUCUUUUAAUACAGGAGGGUCAUGACGGUACCGUAAGAAUAAGCACCGGCUAACUACGUG
rnacentral:rRNA from 1 species